UGGUGACAGUCCUCCGCUGUGUGAA
rnacentral:piRNA from 1 species